CUGCAGUCGAGGGGCAGCACAGGUAGCAAUACUGGGUGGCGACCGGCAAACGGGUGCGGAACACGUACGUAACCUUCCUUUAAGUGGGAGAUAGCCCGAAGAAAUUCGGAUUAAUACCCCAUAAGAUUGUGGAAUGGCAUCAUUCAGCAAUUAAAGAAUUUCGCUUAAAGAUGGGCGUGCGGCUGAUUAGGUAGUUGGUGAGGUAACGGCUCACCAAGCCAACGAUCAGUAACUGGCGUGAGAGCGCGACCAGUCACACGGGCACUGAGACACGGGCCCGACUCCUACGGGAGGCAGCAGUAAGGAAUAUUGGUCAAUGGACGCAAGUCUGAACCAGCCAUGCCGCGUGAAGGAUGAAGGUCCUCUGGAUUGUAAACUUCUUUUAUAUGGGAAGAAACCAUCUUUUUCUAAGGGUGUUGACGGUACCAUAGGAAUAAGCACCGGCUAACUCCGUGCCAGCAGCCGCGGUAAUACGGAGGGUGCAAGCGUUAUCCGGAUUCACUGGGUUUAAAGGGUGCGUAGGCGGAUUAGUAAGUCCGUGGUGAAAUCUCCGAGCUUAACUCGGAAACUGCCGUGGAUACUAUUAAUCUUGAAUACUGUGGAGGUUAGCGGAAUAUGUCAUGUAGCGGUGAAAUGCAUAGAUAUGACAUAGAACACCAAUUGCGAAGGCAGCUGGCUACACAGAGAUUGACGCUGAGGCACGAAAGCGUGGGGAUCAAACAGGAUUAGAUACCCUGGUAGUCCACGCCCUAAACGAUGAUUACUCGACAUUUGCGAUAUACAGUAAGUGUCUGAGCGAAAGCAUUAAGUAAUCCACCUGGGAAGUACGACCGCAAGGUUGAAACUCAAA
rnacentral:rRNA from 1 species